GACGAACGCUGGCGGCGUGCUUAACACAUGUAAGUCGAACGAUGAACCCGGAGCUUGCUCCGGUGGAUUAGUGGCGAACGGGUGAGUAACACGUGAGUAACCUGCCCUUGACUCUGGGAUAACUGCGGGAAACUGUAGCUAAUACCGGAUACGACCCUCGGCGGCAUCGCCAGGGGGUGGAAAGAAUUUCGGUCAAGGAUGGACUCGCGGCCUAUCAGCUUGUUGGUGAGGUAACGGCUCACCAAGGAGACGACGGGUAGCCGGCCUGAGUGGGUGACGGGCCACGAUGGGGCUGAGAAACGGCCCGGACUCCUACGGGAGGCAGCAGUGGGGAAUAUUGCACAAUGGGCGCAAGCCUGAUGCAGCAACGCCGCGUGAGGGAUGACGGCCUUCGGGUUGUAAACCUCUUUUAGUAGGGAAGAAGCGAAAGUGACGGUACCUGCAGAAAAAGCACCGGCUAACUACGUGCCAGCCGCCGCGGUAA
rnacentral:rRNA from 1 species